rnacentral:rRNA from 1 species
GACGAACGCUGGCGGCGUGCUUAAUACAUGCAAGUCGAACGAACAGACGCCAAGUUUGUGGCUUUCUCGAUAGCCGAAGGCGGGAGUAACACGCGUGGAAACCCUACUUCUCUGACUGAGAUAACUUCGGGAAUCCGGCUCUUACACGGGAUGAUAUAUCUCACCGCAGGGUUCAGUGGUAAAAGACUGUUUUGAGGACACGUAUAGAUGCUUUCGGGCCGCUUUAGCGAGUUGGUCAUGUAACGGCUUACCAAGGCAACGAUGCGUAGCCGACCGGAGAGGGUGAUCGGCCACACUGGAACUGAGACAGGGUCCAGAGUCCUACGGGAGGCAGCAGUAGGGAAUCUGCCGCAAUGGGCGGAAGCCUUACGGAGCAGCGCCGCGUGAGUGAUGAAGGUCUUCGGAUCGUAAAACUCUGUUAUUAGGGAAGAACAAAUGUGUAAGUAACUAUGCACGUCUUGACGGUACCUAAUCAGAAAGCCACGGCUAACUACGUG